ensembl:lncRNA
CUUUCUUCACAGUCCAACUCUCACAUCCAUACAUGACCACUGGAAAAACCAUAGCCUUGACUAGAUGGACCUUUGUUGGCAAAGUAAUAUCUCUGCUUUCUAGGUUGCUGUGAUACCCAUAGGUUUCUAGAUACCUAUGCUGUCUAGGUUGGUCAUAACUUUCCUUCCAAGGUGCCGGGAGCCAGCGUGGAGGAUCCCACCCAUGGCAAAGGUCAUGAGGAAGAGGCCUGAUGGGCAAAGGCGAGAUCAGGCCUCAAGGGGCCCCCCUUCUCGAGCAUCUACCCCAAAACCAGAAUCUGUUUUUUCAUGACUUUCACCAACUCCUCUGACAUUAACAGGGAGCUAUCCCUGACCACCUUUCUCUGGAGAAAAUCAACUUUGGGCUCUAGCUAAUAAAUCUCCUGGGCAUGAAAAGAGUGUUUCAAUUCAAACCCCCUGUUAGCAUUCUAGCUUACUUGGCAGGUUUAUCCAGACUCUUGCAGCAUUGUUGAGCCAAUGCUUGCUGCCAAGUUCUCACAUCCCUUAUCCAUUGUGUUCCUGGGAGUGCAUAUAGUCAGGAUGUAGAAAAAACAAGCAGCAGCUUUAGCAUUAGCAACAUUAGACUUUGAGUUAAUAAGUUCUUUCUUUGCUGUAACCCCCUGAAUCUUUGCUCCAUAAAAAUGUAACUCUGUACUUUAAGGGUGAUGCAGGCUAGAAAUUUAAGAAGAAACACUUCAAGGGAAAAUUAUUGUUCUGGCUGACCAACCUUUAUCAAAAAGAGGUCAUAAAAUAUCAACAGGUCUCCGGGCCAGAAGAUAAUGUACAAAAAUUAAGACUCUUGCAGGAAAGAACCUGAUAUUGAUAAAAGUUAAUACUGAUGGAAUGUUGAGUUGACUGCAUUUUUCACUUUGCUCAAUGUACAACUCAGGGUAUAAAAGCCCUCUCUGAAAAUAAAGUGAGGGGCCUUGCUCUUUGAAGCUUGGUCACCCUGUGUCAUUCUUUCCUUAUCUCUUUCUCUGUCUUUCUACAUUCACUGACGUCGUCCAUCCUGAGGAUAUCCCUGGACUCUGCUGAGGCUGGACCUUGGUACCAAAGAUGCUCUGGCACCAAACCCUAUCUCCAGUGUAUGCCUGUAGUUAUAGCUGCUUUGAAUGAUCUGUCUGCUAAAUAUAAAAUCUGGGCCAGCUCACAAUGAAGAAGAAGCAAAUGAGGCUCAGGAAGGCACUGCUCCAAGGUCAUCUCCUCUUUACACUUUCAGAAGCUCCUCAUCCUACAGGCACUUCCCAGAUCCUGUGGCCCACUGUCGAUACAUUCAGCACUGAGGCCUGCUGGAACAGAGGAAGAAAUGGAUAUUUUAAAGUCUUUCUGAGAACACAAAAUAAUUGUUAUCUACACCUUCCUGAGAAGUAUUAAGAAACACUGAGUAGCCAGAUCAAGGAAACUUGAAGCAGCAGUGAUUUGAGAUGAGAUAAGCUUCAAGGAGGAGAAGGUAAUGGCAUUCCACUCCAGUACUCUAGCCUGGAAAAUCUCAUGGAUGGAGGAGCCUGGUGGGCUGCAGUCCAUGGGGUCGCUAGGAGUCGGACACGACUGAGCGACUUCACUUUCACUUUUCACUUUCAUGCAUUGGAGAAGGAAAUGGCAACCCACUCCAGUGUUCUUGCCUGGAGAAUCCCAGGGAUGGGGGAGCCUGGUGGGCUGCCGUCUCUGGGGUCGCACAGAGUCGGACACGACUAAAGCGACUUAGCAGCAGCAGCAGCAGCAAGCUUCAAGGAAUAAUGAAUCUGAGCUCGUAGCUGAAGCCAAGGGAUAGAAUAUGCAGUAAGAGAAAGAGAAGAGGGAAUUAUGUUGUUUAUUGGCGCCCUUCCUCCCCCAUGUCAAAUAAUUUAUGUAUAUUAUUCCAUGAAGUCUUCAGAACCAAUCUGCAAGGCAGGUGUUCCCCCCACACGACAGAUGAAGAAAUAGGCUCAGAGUGAUUGAAUGUCUUAUUAAAGGUCACAGAGAUUGAAAACGUCAGAGCCUUGAGGUGUUACCUCUAGUUGUUUGUGACUCAAAGAAAAAGUUGAUGAGAGCUCCUGGAUUCUAGAGUAGGAAUGUGGGUUUAAUAAAGGUUUCUCUAUUUCCUUGGCAGAGAGCAGUCUGAUUCCCUGGAUCAGGCUCUAGAAUAACCACAGGACUGACCCAGGAUGUGUCUGGAUUCCUUAGACUCACAUAAUUCUUAGGCUGUAGUUUUUAUUUUCAAUUUUUAUAGUUAUAAUGAAUGCUGCAAUAAAUUCCUUCAUUACAAAGGUUUUAUUAAAAACCCUUUGCAAGCAAAGCAUCUAAUAUAAUUCAGUUUAUGUGUCAGUUUAUAUGUUUGUGUAUAUGUCUGCUUAUGUGUAUACAUCUUAGUUAUUCUAUUUGAACAUAUCUGGAUACCUCAGAGAUGCUUAGUGAAUACUUACACAUUUAUUUCUUUAAAAAAUGAAAUUUAUUUUCCAAAUCCUUAAGUGAAUAAAUGACUUAUAGAAAAUAAGAACAAUUUCAAAAAUUAGGAAAAGCUCUUAAUUCUUUGCUACUUUAGGCAGCCUCUAGUAUACAACAUUGUAGUUAAAAUGUAGGCCACAAAUUUAUAUUUCUGGAAUUAUGGCAGAGACCAAGGCCUAUUGAAAAGAACUCAAAAUGCUAUGGUAAAUAAGACUGUAACUUGUCAUUUUGGAGUAUUUUGUUUGAG